UCGUCUUUUGAUUUACACCGCAUAAAAGAUAAUGCCUGCCCAGUGAAUUUUUAAACGGCCGCGUUAGCGUGAGCGUGCUAAGGUAGCGUAAUAAUUAGCCUCUUAAUUGGAGGCCAGUGAAAGGCAACACCAGGAAUACCUAUACUUUGUACGAAAAAAGAACUUUUUCUCUAAGUGAAAAAUCUUAGAUAAUAACGGAAGACGAAAAGACCCCGCGGAACUUUACCUUCUCUCUUAAGACUUUACACCCAUUAAAUAAUUCGCAAUAAGGUUUGAUUGGGGCAAUCUCGGAACCAUCUAAACUUCCGACUUUUCUCACAAAGAAUUAAAAACUUGCUUUGGACUAAAAAGAAGUUACCCCGGGGAUAACAGCGUUAUCCAACUUGAGAGUACACAUCGAAAGUUGGGUUUGCGACCUCGAUGUUGGCUUAAGGACAUCCACAUUAGUGCAGCCGCUAUGAGUGGAUAGUCUGUUCGACUAUUAUAACCUUA
rnacentral:rRNA from 1 species